rnacentral:snRNA from 1 species
GUGUUCGUUUCAGAAGUAUAUCUACAAAAAUUGGAAUAAUAUAGAGAAAAUUAGCUUGUGUUCUCUUCAAGGAUGCUGUGCAAAUAUGUGAAUCUUUAUAAUUUUUA